GACCAUGGCCUGUUUAAGGGUGUCUUUGUCUGUGAGGAUGAUGAUGUCUCCAAGUUCGUGGACUACAUUAGUAAUAAAACAAAGCAUGUAAGUUCCAUUAUUGCUUUUUAAUGGUAAUUUCUAAACAAUUGUAAUAUUUCAUUGCCACGUAAAGUAAAAUAAAAAUGUUGAGGGGAAAAACAUGAUGAGGGGGAAAAUAUUUGGAUACCCCAUGUUUCUCCAAAAGGAGCUGACACCACGCAAUGUGCAGUUUAUGUGCACUGAUGUAAUAUGUAAGUACUGGCCAUACCUGCAGAGAGUUGUUAGAGACUGUCCAGAGCUCUCUCUUCUCCUGAACAUGAAGCCAUUCCUGUCAGUGAUGCAUGCAAAGGCCCACUCCUGGAAAUGUGAGAUUAAAUGGGGUGGUCAAAACAAAGAAGGAGCAGGCACCACCCUGGGCGAAGAGGUCGAACAAGUAAACAGACAAAAGCAAAAAUUCAGGAGGCAUCCAUGAACAUUACUACAUUAAAGACAGAAUUGUCAAUUGCCUGGGCCAAAGAAAUCCAGGAAUGGGCUGAUACAGGUAGGCAUUUUUUAGGUUACCUACUGUAAGUACUAUAUUUAUU